rnacentral:rRNA from 1 species
AGCGAACGCUGGCGGCAGGCCUAACACAUGCAAGUCGAACGAAGCCUUCGGGCUUAGUGGCGGACGGGUGAGUAACACGUGGGAACGUACCUUUUGGUUCGGAACAACUCAGGGAAACUUGAGCUAAUACCGGAUGAGCCCUUAGGGGGAAAGAUUUAUCGCCGAAAGAGCGGCCCGCGUUAGAUUAGCUAGUUGGUGAGGUAAAGGCUCACCAAGGCUACGAUCUAUAGCUGGUCUGAGAGGAUGAUCAGCCACACUGGGACUGAGACACGGCCCAGACUCCUACGGGAGGCAGCAGUGGGGAAUCUUGCGCAAUGGGCGAAAGCCUGACGCAGCCAUGCCGCGUGAAUGAUGAAGGUCUUAGGAUUGUAAAAUUCUUUUACCAGGGACGAUAAUGACGGUACCUGGAGAAAAAGCCCCGGCUAACUUCGUGUCAGCAGCCGCUGUAAUAC